GCUUUGAAUUCACUACGGAUCUCAGACUGGCCUUGAACUUGUGGUGAUCCUCCUGCCUCCGCCCCUUGAGCUGGGAUCUCAGGCAGGGAAGAAUCUUCAGAACACCUCUAUGUGCAACGUUGACAGAGCCUUGGAGAUCAUCUCCACCGUUUUGACCCGGGACUGCGCUGGCUCCGGAAGUCUGUGGCAGAGCCUGCAGGACGGCGUGAUCCCGGCAGAGCGGCUGACAUCGCCACGUGACAGGACACAGACCUUCCUCCCUCCGCCACACAGACCUUCCCAGGCCCCUCUCCCGGGGAGGCUGCGCUGUCCUCAUCCGUGAGUGCGGAGUGAUGUGCUGUCUCUGGCGGCCCGGCCUGCUCAGAUCCAGCCUGGCUGACGUAAGGCAGUGAGCAGGGCUGUGCCUCUGGGGCAGGUGGCGGAGAAGCACACUUGGCUGAGGGUCCGGAGGUUGAUUCUAAACCGAUGGCAACGUUGUUCCUUCCCCUCUCUUCCUGGGGAGCCACCCAGCUCCCCUACACCCUCCUACCCCCACCCCCCAUCGCAAGCUGUGUCCUGCCCCAGGGCCGUGCUGUGGGCUGAGGCAGGCAGGGCCCGGCUACACUGCCAAAUGCCUGCCGUCCCUGCCUUCUGCCGCCGGCUUUGUGUCUCCAGCCACAGGAGCCACAGGACGAUCUCCCCCUUUUUAUCAUCCUCAGACCCAGAGCAGAGCCAGGUGAGAUACAGCGAACCCCUAAAGUGAAGACUCCUGUGGCAUCGCUUGGGGUCAGUGUUACGCCAUCCUCACCUCCCUGGCUUCAAACUCUCCGUCAACCCGCCCUUAACACAGGCACUUUCCUCCUGCCACCUCCUGUGUUGCCCGACUGCUUUUUAUCUGCAGGAUCUGCUGGUUCUGGACUUGUUACCGUAAGGGAAUUAUCAAGCAGGUGACUGAGGUGUCCAGAUUCUCUCCCGGCAGGUUCCGGGGCCAUCCACGCUGCGGUAUAAACUGUCCUUUGUCCCACCUUCCGGCCACACACUGUGCCACUGCAUCUGUCCUCCGUAGCUUGUCUGUCUACUCAGAGCGUCUGGGCUGUGUCUGCCUCCCGUCCGUCACGAGUAACGCAGCCAUGCGCAUUUCUGCGCAGGCUUCGGUGGAGACAAUGUUUUCAUUUUUCUUGGGGAUGGACUCAGAAAUGAAUUGUAAACAAUUCUGUGUUUAGCUUUCAAAGGGAUCGACCAGCUGUUUUCCAAAGCAGCGACCCUACUUUCCAUCCCUGCCAGGAACUGCGAGGGCCCUGUUCUGCCCUGCGUGCACACGGGUCCUUUCCUUCCCCACUUGCCUGCUGUGGUCACAGCCAUCUCGGCGCAGGGCAGCGUCUCUCUCUGGGUGCAGCUGGCAUCUCUUUGCUGACCAGCGAUGCCGGACACCUCACGCUCUCGCUGCCCGUCUCCCUCGGAGAAAUGUCUCUUCAGGUUCAUCGCCUGCAUUUCGAUCGGAUUCUCUUUUAGUUGUUGCCUUGCGAGAGUCCUUUAUUCUGGCUACUAAAUGUUUA